AGUGAACGCUGGCGGUAGGCCUAACACAUGCAAGUCGAGCGGCAGCACAGUAAGAGCUUGCUCUUACGGGUGGCGAGUGGCGGACGGGUGAGGAAUACAUCGGAAUCUACUUUUUCGUGGGGGAUAACGUAGGGAAACUUACGCUAAUACCGCAUACGACCUACGGGUGAAAGCAGGGGAUCUUCGGACCUUGCGCGAUUGAAUGAGCCGAUGUCGGAUUAGCUAGUUGGCGGGGUAAAGGCCCACCAAGGCGACGAUCCGUAGCUGGUCUGAGAGGAUGAUCAGCCACACUGGAACUGAGACACGGUCCAGACUCCUACGGGAGGCAGCAGUGGGGAAUAUUGGACAAUGGGCGCAAGCCUGAUCCAGCCAUACAGCGUGGGUGAAGAAGGCCUUCGGGUUGUAAAGCCCUUUUGUUGGGAAAGAAAAGCAGCAGGUUAAUACCCCGCUGUUCUGACGGUACCCAAAGAAUAAGCACCGGCUAACUUCGUG
rnacentral:rRNA from 1 species